rnacentral:miRNA from 1 species
GACGUCGAUAUACGACGUCAUAAACAACACCAAGUUUGGUGUUGAUGACGUCGUUGUUGGACGUCUUAAACACCAUCAAGUUUGAUGUUUAUGGCGUCGAUAUUCAGCGUCAUAAACACCAUCAAGUUUGGUGUUUAUGGCGUCGAUAUUGCACGUCAUAAACACCAUUAAGUUAGGUGUUUAUGGCGUCGACAUACGACGUCAUAAACACCAUCAAGUUUGGUGUUUAUGACGUCGAUAUCCGACGUCAUAAACACCAUCAAAUUUGGUGUUGAUGACGUCGAUAUACGACGUC